rnacentral:tRNA from 1 species
UCCUCGUUAGUAUAGUGGUGAGUAUCCCCGCCUGUCACACGGGAGACUGGGAUUCGAUUCCCCGACGGGGAG